AUGCCCCUCUGUGCGUUCAUGCAGAUGAAGGAAUUCGGUGCAGAGAGGACCUGUGACCUGCCCAGGGCUGCAGGCAGCAGACGGCAGUCACGCCUGGUCUCCGCAGCCUCCAAGCCUCGGACAAGUGAAAUGGCAGAGACUGGCUAUUGUGCCUUUGGAGGGGAUUACUUUGAAUGGUCUGGAAAAGCUGAGAGGACACCAGGUCUGAUCCCUGUCCCCAGCCUACACUGUGAUGUCAUGGUUGGUAUAUUCUUAGUUAUCUCUUUCUUCCCUGGGACUCAUAGCCUACUUUUGCUCCCUUUUAAGUUAAAAACUAAACCUUAAUUAUACAGAGAGAAUCACUAGAUGGGACAUGAUUCGCCAAGAAAGUGGUGGGGGGGAGGGAGGGUGAUAACAACACAUUGACCAUCGAUAAAUCAGCUCCCAGGCUGUCCUGUCCUGUGACCUAUGUAAUGGGUAUUCUCUAGACCCUCAGCUAGGCAGAAAGCUCUUCAAGACUUGGGAUUUUUUCUUUCUUCCCUGCCCAGUCCCUGUCCCACUUCUCUCACACUUGGUACUAUUAAGCUCUUAAUAAUAACAAUGACAAACACUGGGCACCUGCUCUGUGCAGUCCAGGUGUUGAAGUUUCAUUCUGGUCGACACAGGCUGGGCCCCUGAAGACCUCUGUCUUCUCAGCUCCAACACUUCCCUCUCUGGGAUCCGACCACACCAGCCUUUUUUCCGUUUCUUGAACCCACUGAACCUGUCCCCAUUCAGGGCCUUUGCACGUGCAGUUUCCUCUGCCUCUAACUCUCAGCAGGGUCAACUCUGCUUGGUUGAAAGGCCAACCAAGGAUAGAGUAGUCAUCCUUGGACAGGGCGAUGCAGACCAUACUUGUCGUCUUGAUAGGCAUGAGUCUCAAUGGCUGAGGGAUGAAGGAAGCCCAAAUUCAAGCACAAAGGAGACAACAUAGAGGGAAUAAGCAGUACUUACAAAAAUUUUGCCAUGAAGUGAAGCAGAAAAAUAAGGUGAUGGCAGGAGAGAGAUACGGGAUCCAGAAACAUUUUUGUUUGUUUGCUUGUUUCCUUUUAAGUAGGAAGAGGUAGGAGAGUACGUCUCCAUGUGGGUAGAAAUGACACAGGACUCUGGUACAGGACCCAGAUGCAGGGGAGAGAGGAGAUAAUUUCCAGGAAGAGAAUUUUUGGACAGGAGCAAAAUGAAAUGGGUUCUGAAAGAAAAAUUGUAGAUUGCAUUUGCUCAGUGAAUUUAAUGCUUACAAAAUCCUACGAGGUAGAUAUCAUUAUUCUUCUUAUUUUAUAGAUGAGGAAUAGAAGAGCCAGAGAUGUGAAGUAUCUCACCCAAGACCACACUGCAGGCAAGCAGAGGAGUUGGUGUUUGAAGCGAGAUUCUGACUCCUGGUUUAUUUUAUAAGAUUUGGAGUUUCCGUUGUGGCUCAGCAUGUUACAAACCUGACGAGUAUCCAUGAGGAUGCAGGUUCAAUCCCUGGCCCUGCUCAGUGGGUUAUGGAUCUUGCGUUGCCAUGAGCUGUGGUGUAGGUCACAGGUGCAGCUUGGAGCUGGCGUUGCUCUGGCUGUGGCAUAGUCUGGCAUCUGCAGCUCCAAUCCGACCCCUAGCCUGGGAACUUACAUAUGCCAAGGGUGUGGCCAUAAAAAGAAAGAAAAAAAAAAGAUUGGGUACAAGUUUAUGAAAUGUGAGAGGUCAGCUCCUUAAAUCAGAGAAAAGCCUGAGCAUUUCAGAGAUAAACCUAAAACCCAAUGCUCACAAUUCAGGUUUUAGAGAAAUGGAAUAGCUCCAAUGCAUUAUAAACAGAAACAUUUUCCAUAUUUUGUUUAGUUGCCCCCCCAAAACACAUGCUGGCAAUGUUCUGCUUUACAACUGAGAAGUGGACACUUGAGGGUUUGCUCUGAGCCACGUUUCUGAUUUGUAUGUUUUUCUGAAUGUGUGUUACACUUCACAAGAGUUUUAGAAAUAAACCUGAACUGUCUUAUUGAUGUGUAACCA
ensembl:lncRNA